GAUGAACGCUGGCGGCGUGCCUAAUACAUGCAAGUCGAGCGAACGGACGAGAAGCUUGCUUCUCUGAUGUUAGCGGCGGACGGGUGAGUAACACGUGGAUAACCUACCUAUAAGACUGGGAUAACUUCGGGAAACCGUAGCUAAUACCGGAUAAUAUUUUGAACCUCAUGGUUCCAAAGUGAAAGACGGUCUUGCUGUCACUUAUAGCUGGAUCCGCGCUGCAUUAGCUAGUUGGUAAGGUAACGGCUUACCAAGGCAACGAUGCAUAGCCGACCUGAGAGGGUGAUCGGCCACACUGGAACUGAGACACGGUCCAGACUCCUACAGGAGGCAGCAGUAGGGAAUCUUCCGCAAUGGGCGAGAGCCUGACGGAGCAACGCCGCGUGAGUGAUGAAGGUCUUCGGAUCGUAAAACUCUGUUAUUAGGGAAGAACAUAUGUGUAAGUAACUGUGCACAUCUUGACGGUACCUAAUCAGAAAGCCACGGCUAACUACGUG
rnacentral:rRNA from 1 species